AAUCAACGCUGGCGGCGUGCCUCAGACAUGCAAGUCGAACGAUUAAAGCUCCCUUCGGGGAGUGCAUAAAGUGGCGCACGGGUGAGUAACACGUAAGUAAUCUACCCUCGGGUGGGGAAUAACAUCGGGAAACCGAUGCUAAUACCGCAUAAUGCAGCGGCACCGCAAGGUGACAGUUGUUAAAGUAUUUAUUGCCUGGGGAGGAGCUUGCGGCAGAUUAGCUUGUUGGAAGGUAACGGCUUACCAAGGCUACGAUCUGUAUCCGGUCUAAGAGGACGGUCGGACACACUGACACUGAAUAACGGGUCAGACUCCUACGGGAGGCAGCAGUCGGGAAUUUUGGGCAAUGGGGGAAACCCUGACCCAGCAACGCCGCGUGAAGGAUG
rnacentral:rRNA from 1 species